rnacentral:sRNA from 1 species
UAAGUUUCGAAAAUGCUAUGAAACACU